rnacentral:rRNA from 1 species
CCUGGCCUUGACAUACUAAGAACUUUCCAGAGAUGGAAUUUGGUGCCUUCGGGAACUUAGAUACAGGUGCUGCAUGGCUGUCGUCAGCUCGUGUCGUGAGAUGUUGGGUUAACGUCCGCAACGAGCGCAACCCUUUUCCUUAUUUGCCAGCGGGUAAUGCCGGGAACUUUAAGGAUACUGCCAGUGACAAACUGGAGGAAGGCGGGGACGACGUCAAGUCAUCAUGGCCCUUACGGCCAGGGCUACACACGUGCUACAAUGGUCGGUACAAAGGGUUGCUACCUCGCGAGAGGAUGCUAAUCUCAAAAAGCCGAUCGUAGUCCGGAUCGCAGUCUGCAACUCGACUGCGUGAAGUCGGAAUCGCUAGUAAUCGCGGAUCAGAAUGCCGCGGUGAAUACGUUCCCGGGCCUUGUACACACCGCCCGUCACACCAUGGGAGUUUGUUGCACCAGAAGUAGGUAGUCUAACCGCAAGGAGGACGCUUACCACGGUGUGGCCGAUGACUGGGGUGAAGUCGUAACAAGGUAAGCGUAGAUGA